rnacentral:lncRNA from 1 species
AAAAAAAAGAAGUGAAAAAGAGAAAGAUGGAAAUACAUCUGGAUUUUUGUUAAGGACAUGAUAGUCUUAACAUGGAUUGGUAACACCAAAUUUGUGCCAUAGCCGCUAAAGAAUAAUUGAUCCUUUCUUUUGUGUUUUCCCAUCUUUUCGUUGAUAAUGCAACACCACCAGAUCUCAAUCUAUUUCCACUUCCAUGACCCACAACCAAGACCUUCUAUUUCCUGUAUCAAAGCUAUAAGCAAGCAUAGUGAUUUCUGUUUCUACAGAAAGUUAUUAGGCAUUCUCUGCUUUGUAGUAAUGAAUAUUGGGCAGAUAUAAACAAAAUGUUCAUACGUUAAAUGUUGUAGAAAUGAGCAUAUUAAGCUCCUGUUUGAUAACCAUUAUUUCAAAACUAUUUUUCUACAUACUCAUUUUCAAUAAAACAUUCACACGAUAAAAUAUUUUGUACAUAAACUCAAAACUUUUCCUCCUUUUUACCACGAAUUUUCCGAAAAGGGGGAAAACAUUACUAUUCAAAACUCCAUUUUACCCAAAUAAUGGUGGUCAAACAGGGCUAAGAUAGUAUAGAUAUGUUAUUGUACUUGAAUGGGUAAGAUAAGAAAUGAGAAUAUACACCACUUUGAGUAGGCACCGAUUGACGAUAAAUGAAUGAAACACGACUUAGGUGGUUCUCACGUCUUGUAGAGCUAGAGGUGUUCAAUUUACAAGCUAGAUAUCCCAAAUUCCCAAUGCAAGAGAUUUUUGUGAUUUACAUAUUCCAGCAAUAUUAUAUCAGUGGGGGCCAAACAGAGUGGCGAGAUAGAGGAUUCAUUAGCCUAUCCCAAAUUUAUUGGAUUUAAGAUUUAAUUUGUCAUUAUUUAUUUUCUUGUUUCUGAGAAGGGCAUAUGAAAUCCUUCACUCGCCAUUAAUUAUGGUGGAGGUAAGGCUAUGCAAUAUGAAAAAUGCUUUGAUGAGUUGGUGAUUUUUAACAUGAAAAAUUGUCAGACAACAAAAGUUCAUGGGGUAUAUGAAAAAUUGAAAAUUACAGACAUAGCUUAUAAAGUUUACAAUGUAAGGAUGCAUUAAGUUUACUGCCUUUUCUGGUGCUGAUUCUGAGAUACUGAAAAUUUUACCUGUUCUAAUGGUUGUUGUAUUGCAAAUUUCCAGAGAUUACGUCGUGGUUAUAUCAGCCCCUUCCCUUUCUAUAUUU